AACUUUCAGCAAUGGAUCACUUGGUUCCGGCAUCGAUGAAGAACGCAGCGAAAUGCGAUAAGUAAUGUGAAUUGCAGAAUUCAGUGAAUCAUCGAGUCUUUGAACGCACAUUGCGCCCCCUGGUAUUCCGGGGGGCAUGCCUGUCCGAGCGUCAUUGCUGCCCUCAAGCACGGCUUGUGUGUUGGGCCCCCGCCCCCCGGUCCCGGGGGGCGGGCCCGAAAGGCAGCGGCGGCACCGCGUCCGGUCCUCGAGCGUAUGGGGCUUUGUCACCCGCUCUGUAGGCCCGGCCGGCGCCCGCCGGCGACCCCAAUCAAUCUUUUUCAGGUUGACCUCGGAUCAGGUAGGGAUACCCGCUGAACUUAAGCAUAUCAAUAAGCGGAGGCU
rnacentral:misc_RNA from 1 species